UCCCUAUGUAACCAACCAGUUACUAACCCAGUUACUAUCGGCCUUUAGCCUGAAGGGUUAACCUUCCUUUACCUUUUCCCUAUGUAACCAACCAGUUACUGAGCUAUCAGCCUUUUAGCUCAAAGGGCUAACCUCUGGUAAGGGUAUCUGGGGAGGCAUCGUCUCCUCUGCAGCCAUGCAGUCAAACUACUCUAGUUCUACUAUGUCUACAUCUAUUCUGCUAUAUCUAUAUCUAGGUAGAUAUCAUCAUCAUUCAGAUAUCGGUGUUACUCUGCUUCAAAUGCUUACAUUGACACAGUGUAAAUAGGACAUUCUAUACAAGGGAAAGUGGUGGUUUUCUACACCACAUCAUCUAACUCUGAAUCAACUAAUAUUAUUUUAUUUUUUACAUUGCUAAGUGUUGUUAAACAAAUCCUUAAAUUAAAAAUAAUAAAUACUGUAUGAUACUUUACAUCCGGUAGACAUUUUACAACAUGGUUUAAAUAUGUUGUCACAAUACAAAACCCACAAAAAAAAAAAAAAUACAAUAACACAUUUAAAAAUCAUGAAUAAAUGUAAAAUAAAAUGUUUAAAUUAAUAAAUGGCAGUCUCUUGGCUUUCUGUUAUGAGUCAUGAAUUUCCUUCAAGACCUGAGAUUGAUCUCUGAUUUGAGACAAGAGGUAUCACAGUUCAAUACAAUGAAUACAAUGGUUCCUGUUUUACAAUAUUCAUCGUGAAUAAUCAUUCAUAAUCAUACUCCAUUGAACAAUUUUUUUCCCAAACUAGACUUCCUGGUUAGCUAGUAUUAUGACAAGACAAAGAUCCAGUGAGAUGGAGAAAAUGAGAAUGAAAGUCACGAUGGAUUUUCCACAGCUGCCUAGAUGUCACUUGUGGAUCUCAACACCAAAAAACGUUUGACUCACACAGAGACGCAAGGCUACGCAAGAAAGAAAGCAAAUCCAUUUUUUUGUUGUGUUUUUUUUUUGUUGAGUUGAUCGCAAAUAGAUGCAAUGAUAAGUACACUUGGACAGAGAGUGACAACAAGAGUAGAUUCACCAUGGUUACGAUGUGUAAAUAAAUAAACAACAGACUGGUACCAGAACAUUCUUCUAGAACGUUCACUUCAGAUCAGUAAAUGUAUCCCGUGAGGUUUGCCUCAUCAUUGGCUGAAUUUACACAGGAUAACCCAAUUCUGAUAUUCUAUUCACUAAUUGGUCUUUUGACCAAUCAGAUCAGUUCAUUUGUCAAUAAUAGUGCAAAAUAUCAGAAUGGACGGACUGUGUAAACACAGCCACUAAAGAUCAGAAUGGGCUGCCUGUGUAAACACAGCCACUAAAGAUCAGAAUGGGCUGCCUGUGUAAACACAGCCACUAAAGAUCAGAAUGGGCUGCCUGUGUAAACACAGCCACUAAAAGAUCAGAAUGGGCUGCCUGUGUAAACACAGCCACUUGCAGGAUCACAGACCUAACUAAUACAGACGUAAUAAAUGCAGGCAUCAUCAGUGCCAAGGCCUGGGGCUGCAGGAAAACAACUAUGAUACUAAUGUAACCCGUACAUCAAUCUGGAUCAACUCCUUAGCCUUUUCAAUGUGAUUCUCAACACGUCAGUACCAUUCAGAGAGUGGUAGGUCACAUGUUCAAUGUAUUUCAAGGGGACGUGUAGGUUAUACCACAGGGUUCGCCUAAGAACGCAUUAAUCCAUCAUGCUGAAUGACGUACGGAGUGAGAACACUACACAUGGCUUUUCCUUCAAGGGACCUGAAUGGGAGUACAGGGCGCGGUCCGAAAUGGCACCCUUUAUAGUGCACUACUUUAGGACGCAGCCGACAGAGUCUCGAUCUUCUAUUCAACCACAGAGUCUCUACCUUCUAUCAACCACAGUCUCUAUCUUCUAUCAACCACACAGUCUCUAUCUUCUAUUCAACCAGAGUAUCUACCUUCUAUCAACCACAGUCUCUAUCUUCUAUCAACCACACAGGCUCUAUCUUCUAUUCAACCAGAAUCUCUAUUUUCUAUCAACCACAGAGUCUCUAUCUUCUAUCAACCAGAGUAUCUAUCUUCUAUUCAACCACAGAGUCUCUAUCUUCUAUUCAACCACAGGGUCUCUAUCUUCUAUUCAACCACAGGGUCUCUAUCUUUAUACUCAACCACAGAGUCUCUACCUUCUAUUCAACCACAGAGUCUCUACCUUCUAUUCAACCACAGAGUCUCUAUCUUCUAUUCAACCACAGAGUCUCUAUUUUCUAUCAACCACAGAUCUCUAUCUUCUAUUCAACCACAGAGUCUCUAUCUUCUAUUCAACCACAGAGUUUCUAUCUUCUAUUCAACCACAUAGUCUCUAUUUUCUAUAAACCACACAGUCUCUAUCUUCUAUUCAACCACAGAGUCUCUAUCUUCUAUCAACCACAGAGUCUCUAUCUUCUAUCAACCACAGAGUCUCUAUCUUCUAUCAACCACAGAGUCUUUAUCUUCUAUUCAACCACAGUCUCUAUCUUCUAUUCAACCACAGAGUCUCUAUCUUCUAAUCAACCACACAGUCUCUAACUUCUAUUCAACCACAGUCUCUAUCUUCUAUUCAACCACAGUCUCUAUUUUCUAUCAACCACAGAGUCUCUAUCUUCUAUCAACCACAGUCUCUAUCGUCUAUCAACCACAGAGUCUCUAUCUUCUAUCAACCACAGAGUCUCUAUCUUCUAUCAACCACAGAGUCUCUAUCUUCUAUCAACCACAGAGUCUCUAUUUUCUAUAAACCACAGAGUCUCUAUCUUCUAUCAACCACAGAGUCUCUAUCUUCUAUUCAACCACAGAGUCUCUAUUUUCUAUUCAACCACAGAGUCUCUAUCUUCUAUUCAACCACAGAGUCUAUAUCUUCUAUUCAACCACAGAGUCUCUAUCUUCUAUUCAACCACAGAGUCGCUAUCUUCUAUCAACCACAGAGUCUCUAUCUUUUAUUCAACCACAGAGUCUCUAUCUUCUAUCAACCACAGAGUCUCUAUCUUUUAUUCAAACAGAGUCUCUAUCUUCUAUUCAACCACAGAGUCUCUAUUUUCUAUCAACCACAGAGUCUCUAUCUUCUAUCAACCACAGUCUCUAUCUUCUAUCAACCACAGAGUCUCUAUCUUCUAUCAACCACAGAGUCUCUAUCUUCUAUCAACCACAGAGUCUCUAUCAUCUAUCAACCACAGAGUCUCUAUCUUCUAUUCAACCACAGUCUCUAUCUUCUAUCAACCACAGAGUCUCUAUCUUCUAUUCAACCACAGAGUCUCUAUCUUCUAUUCAACCCCAGAGUCUCUAUCUUCUAUUCAACCACAGAGUCUCUAUCUUCUAUCAACCACAAUCUCUAUCUUCUAUCAACCACACAGUCUCUAUCUUCUAUUCAACCACAGAGUCUCUAUCUUCUAUUCAACCACAUAGUCUCUAUUUUCUAUCAACCACAGAGUCUCUAUCUUCUAUCAACCACAGUCUCUAUCUUCUAUCAACCACAGAGUCUCUAUCUUCUAUCAACCACAGAGUCUUUAUCUUCUAUUCAACCACAGAGCCUCUAUCUUCUAUUCAACCACAGAGUCUCUAUCUUCUAUUAAACCACAGAGUCUCUAUCUUCUAUUCAACCACAGAGUCUCUAUCUUCUAAUCAACCACAGAGUCUCUAUCUUCUAUUCAACCACAGUCUCUAUCUUCUAUCAACCACAGAGUCUCUAUCUUCUAUCAACCACAGAGUCUUUAUCUUCUAUCAACCACAGUCUCUAUCAUCUAUCAACCACAGUCUCUAUCUUCUAUCAACCACACAGUCUCUAUCUUCUAUUCAACCACAGAGUCUCUAUCUUCUAUCAACCACAGAGUCUCUAUCUUCUAUCAACCACAGAGUCUCUAUCAUCUAUCAACCACAGAGUCUCUAUCUUCUAUUCAACCACAGUCUCUAUCUUCUAUCAACCACACAGUCUCUAUCAUCUAUCAACCACAGUCUCUAUCUUCUAUUCAACCACAGUCUCUAUCUUCUAUCAACCACACAGUCUCUAUCUUCUAUCAACCACACAGUCUCUAUCUUCUAUUCAACCACAGAGUCUCUAGCUUCUAUUCAACCACAGAGUCUCUAUCUUCUAUCAACCACAGAGUCUUUAUCUUCUAUUCAACCACAGAGUCUCUAUCUUCUAUUCAUCUGCAACACUUUAAUUUCAAAAAGAGGUAACCAGAGGUGUGCUUGCACUUCUUUGACAACAGUUAGUCAAACCUUUCGCUAGACACAAUCCACUUCAAUUCAUUUUCCUACUGACAUACUGUAUGACUGUCUGGGUGGGUGGGAGUCCCUAAGAAUGGGGAUACCCCACAACCAGGUCGUUGGGAACAAAACAGGAAGACAGCUACACCACCAUGCUUUACAGUGAGUGAGAUCCUUGGUUACAAAUGUUACAAAUGUCAUCAGAGAAAACAUAUUUUGAUUGUCAGUUCAACAUGAUUCUCUGGGUUGUUGUAAAUCCUCUAUGUAAAGCAGUUCAACAUGAUUCUCUGGGUUGUUGUAAAUCCUCUAUGUAAAACAGUUCAACAUGAUUCUCUGGGUUGUUGUAAAUCCUGUAUGUAAAGCAGUUCAACAUGCUUCUCUGGGUUGUUGUAAAUCCUCUAUGUAAAGCAGUUCAACAUGAUUCUCUGGGUUGUUGUAAAUCCUCUAUGUAAAACAGUUCAACAUGAUUCUCUGGGUUGUUGUAAAUCCUGUAUGUAAAGCAGUUCAACAUGCUUCUCUGGGUUGUUGUAAAUCCUCUAUGUAAAGCAGUUCAACAUGAUUCUCUGGGUUGUUGUAAAUCCUCUAUGUAAAGCAGUUCAUCAUGAUUCUCUGGGUUGUUGUAAAUCCUCUAUGUAAAGCAGUUCAACAUGAUUCUCUGGGUUGUUGUAAAUCCUCUAUGUAAAGCAGUUCAACAUGAUUCUCUGGGUUGUUGUAAAUCCCCUAUGUAAAGCAGUUCAACAUGAUUCUCUGGGUUGUUGUAAAUCCUCUAUGUAAAGCAGUUCAACAUGAUUCUCUGGGUUGUUGUAAAUCCUCUAUGUAAAGCAGUUCAUCAUGAUUCUCUGGGUUGUUGUAAAUCCUCUAUGUAAAGCAGUUCAACGUGAUUCUCUGGGUUGUUGUAAAUCCUCUAUGUAAAGCAGUUCAACAUGAUUCUCUGGGUUGUUGUAAAUCCUCUAUGUAAAGCAGUUCAACAU
ensembl:lncRNA